rnacentral:rRNA from 1 species
UGGGGGAUAUUGCACAAUGGGCGAAAGCCUGAUGCAGCGACGCCGCGUGGGGGAUGAAGGCUUUCGGGUUGUAAACCUCUUUCGCUAUCGAACAAGGCCCGCUUAGGGUGGGUUGAGGGUAGGUGGAGAAGAAGCGCCGGCUAACUACGUGCCAGCAGCCGCGGUAAUACGUAGGGCGCGAGCGUUGUCCGGAAUUAUUGGGCGUAAAGGGCUUGUAGGCGGCUUGUUGCGCCUGCUGUGAAAACGCGGGGCUUAACUUCGCGCGUGCAGUGGUACGGGCAGGCUUGAGUGUGCUAGGGGUGACUGGAAUUCCAGGUGUAGCGGUGGAAUGCGCAGAUAUCUGGAGGAACACCGAUGGCGAAGGCAGGUCACUGGGCCAUUACUGACGCUGAGGAGCGAAAGCAUGGGUAGCGAACAGG